ensembl:misc_RNA
GUCACUCGGUGUUCUCACCGAAAGCACGUAAUCGCCGGUGUAACUCAUGUUGGCUGGGGGGCCUCCCGGCGCGCGGCGAGGCUGGGUGCUACCCCG